rnacentral:antisense_RNA from 1 species
GGUGGCCUAGCUGUCCGUACUCCCCAAACGCAACCUUCCAGUCCCAAACCCAGGCGUUCUAAGCGCUCAGGACGACGAUUUGCGCUCACGCCAGGACCCUAGUCUUCAUUGGACCCUUCCUCAUUCUGUCCUCACUGGGGCCAUCUGAGAAUAGGGGCCAUCUGAGAAUGCAGGGGAGUGGACAUCGUGUGCAGACAGGGAGUCUGAUUGUGAGUGCCGCGGGGCUGAGGCCUGCGCCGACCUGGUCUGCUGGUGCUACCAGGCUUGAACAGUCUUCAAAUCCACUGCUAUUAGGCAAAUUACCUGGCUCCCGCUGAACUCCAGCACCUAGAACUAUGUCACACUCGUAGUAGGCCGCUGCAUUGGUUGAACAAAUGAUUUUGAAAGAAUGAAUGUCUUCCUCUGUGCCUGCAUUUCCUCAGAAGGUUGUA